rnacentral:rRNA from 1 species
GACGAACGCUGGCGGCGUGCCUAAUACAUGCAAGUUGAGCGCUGAAGGUUGGUACUUGUACCAACUGGAUGAGCAGCGAACGGGUGAGUAACGCGUGGGGAAUCUGCCUUUGAGCGGGGGACAACAUUUGGAAACGAAUGCUAAUACCGCAUAAAAACUUUAAACACAAGUUUUAAGUUUGAAAGAUGCAAUUGCAUCACUCAAAGAUGAUCCCGCGUUGUAUUAGCUAGUUGGUGAGGUAAAGGCUCACCAAGGCGAUGAUACAUAGCCGACCUGAGAGGGUGAUCCGCCACAUUGGGACUGAGACACGGCCCAAACUCCUACGGGAGGCAGCAGUAGGGAAUCUUCGGCAAUGGACGAAAGUCUGACCGAGCAACGCCGCGUGAGUGAAGAAGGUUGUCGGAUCGUAAAACUCUGUUGGUAGAGAAGAACGUUGGUGAGAGUGGAAAGCUCAUCAAGUGACGGUAACUACCCAGAAAGGGACGGCUAACUACGUG